rnacentral:rRNA from 1 species
AGUCAACAUGCCCAGGGGACGUGGAUAACCUCGGGAAACUGAGGAUAAACCGCGAUAAGUCACUACUUCUGGAAUGGGUAAUGACUCAAAUCUACAUGGCCCCUGGAUUGGACUGCGGCCGAUCAGGCUGUUGGUGAGGUAAUGGCCCACCAAACCUGUAACCGGUACGGGCUCUGAGAGGAGGAGCCCGGAGAUGGGCACUGAGACAAGGGCCCAGGCCCUAUGGGGCGCAGCAGGCGCGAAACCUCUGCAAUAGGCGAAAGCCUGACAGGGUUACUCUGAGUGAUUUCCGUUAAGGAGAUCUUUUGGCACCUCUAAAAAUGGUGCAGAAUAAGGGGUGGGCAAGUCUGGUGUCAGCCGCCGCGGUAAUACCAGCACCCCGAGUGGUCGGGACGUUUAUUGGGCCUAAAGCAUCCGUAGCCGGUUCUACAAGUCUUCCGUUAAAUCCACCUGCCCAACAGAUGGGCUGCGGAAGAUACUAUAGAGCUAGGAGGCGGGAGAGGCAAGCGGUACUCGAUGGGUAGGGGUAAAAUCCGUUGAUCCAUUGAAGACCACCAGUGGCGAAGGCGGCUUGCCAGAACGCGCUCGACGGUGAGGGACGAAAGCUGGGGGAGCAAACCGGAUUAGAUACCCGGGUAGUCCCAGCUGUAAACGAUGCAGACUCGGUGAUGAAUUGGC